rnacentral:tRNA from 1 species
GGAGAGUACCGCUGAAUGGCUGGCAACUGGUCUUGAAAACCAGGGUAGGACAAUGUUCUAGGGGUUCGAUUCCUCUACUCUCCU